UCUCCGUAGGUGAACCUGCGGAGGGAUCAUUAUCGAGUGAGGGCGCUUGCGCCCGACCUCCAACCCUUUUGUGAACCACCUCGUUGCUUCGGGGGCGACCCUGCCGUUUCGACGGCGAGCGCCCCCGGAGGCCUUCAAACACUGCAUCUUUGCGUCGGAGUUUAAGUAAAUUAAACAAAACUUUCAACAACGGAUCUCUUGGUUCUGGCAUCGAUGAAGAACGCAGC
rnacentral:misc_RNA from 1 species